GCAUUGUUGCUAGGAAAAUGUUGCCCAUGCAGUCCAUCUUUCAUUGGCCCGGACAGAUGGAAGUCAGAAAGUACCAAACCCAGAUAGUAGGGGGGUGUGAUAGGACAGUCCAGCCAAGAUACAGUGCUGUACAGUACAGUACAGUAAGACCUUUGGUGACUGAAAUUGGAUCGUUUGCAUUUUAAGAGGUGGCUUAGAAUCCACAAUUUCCAUUUGAAAUAUUUUCAGGUGUGCUUUUACCAUUAUCCUUACAAUUCCAUCUAUGUGCUUGUUUCAAGAAAAUUACAUGAUUUGUUGGUUUGAGACAAUUUUACCUUCAUAAUUAAUCUGUUUAACUUUUCUCCAGCUGUCACAGAUUUGCUGACCAGUAAAGAAGUCCUUCUAGAAAGCCAAAACACCUUGUUAUGAAACAGGCUGAUUUGGGUUGGAUUCUGAACAAAGCUGUGCUCUCUGCUUCAUUAGUUUUAUUAAGUGAGAUAAAAGAAUUCUUACAGUAGUGUUAAAUUAAUACCUCAUCUCUGGAUGACAAUCAUGCUUAUGGCAAGACCAUUCCCAUCACUUGUGGUGCUUGAAAGCACUGUGAAAACUCCAAGAAACCAAGAUCUGGCUAUACAUCAUCAGAUCCAAGCCUAUAACUUUUAAGGUGACAAGAAAUCCCCCACAGAAAUCACAGAAAAACAGAAUAAAGCAAAUGCUUGCUAUUCAAAAGAGGUUUGCCAUCACGGUAUCUGAAAAUAUUAUUACAAAGGUAAUAAGCAAAGCAUGACUACUCAUCUGUCUUAUUUUGUUUUUUAUCCAUUUUACGGAAAAAGAAAUGUGCAUAUUAGAAUAUUAUGUUUGUUUUGAUGAAAUUUUAUCCAGUAACAUAUGUUGUGCUAUGCAAAUGUAUCUAUAAAUGAAGAAAUAUGCUUUGCAUUUGGAAUAAAAGGGUGUCGAGCACUUUCUAAUUUUUAUGAGGUCCUCGGGAAAGCCCUAAAUCUUUUCUCCCCACAGUGAGUUGUAAUCUUACUUUGUAGCAUUCAUUGUGUAAUUGUUGACCAUGGUCUUUUCUCUGGCAAUUUACUGAUCUUAGUCCCAGGACAUGAAAUGCCUUACAGAGCAAGACUUAGCACAUUCAUUGUUCUGUGGGAAGAUGCUGGAGAAAUUGUAAAGCCAGUGGGUUGCAUUUGCGAUAGCUUCUGUUGUGGAGGAGGGGAUCUGCUGUCUCUGUGGCAAACUGGAACCACCACAGUGCUACAGAUCUGUAUCUCAGGAUGUGUCAUCCAGCCAAGGCCAAUGGAAGAGGCUCGAGUAACUGAGGUAUGCUGGCCUGGCAAGGUGUCUUGGGUCCAGCUGGCAUCAAGAGAGAGCACUGUGCAUGAAUGUUGCCUUGUGAGUGUUUUAUAGCCUUGAGGAAUCCAGGGGUAUUCCUGGAGUGUGGACUGAGUUGGUAAACAAGAGUCUUAUCUGGGUGAAGGGAUCUGCACGCUCGAUGCUAAACUCAAUGCUUUUCCCACUGACACUGCUAUUGGCUUUUUUUGACUGUUUAUCCUUAAUCUAAUGUAGAGAUUGCACAAACUGGAAAAAAAAAAUAGUGUGCUCUGUUUUAAUAGGACAGAAAUUUGAAUUCUAAACGAAGGCUUUGAAAACAUGAACUUGUGACACUGAACCGAUUCUGUAUGGCCUUUGUGUCCUCGCUGAGUUAUUUGCAGAAUUAGUUUUGGACAAUCUUUUUUCUUCCUUUUGGGCAGCACAUAUACAGCACUAUGGGGCUGCAAUAUUUCUAUCCUCUUAUCCUUGUGCAAAU
ensembl:lncRNA